rnacentral:rRNA from 1 species
GACGAACGCUGGCGGCGUGCUUAACACAUGCAAGUCGAACGGUGAAGGGACCGGUUUUUGCUGGUUCUGGAUGAGUGGCGAACGGGUGAGUAACACGUGAGUAACCUGCCCCCUUCUUCUGGAUAACCGCAUGAAAGUGUGGCUAAUACGGGAUAUUCUGCGCCUGCUGCAUGGUGGGUGUGGGAAAGAUAUUGUUUCGGUGGGGGAUGGGCUCGCGGCCUAUCAGCUUGUUGGUGGGGUGAUGGCCUACCAAGGCGGUGACGGGUAGCCGGCCUGAGAGGGUGGACGGUCCCACGGGGACUGAGACACGGCCAAGACUCCUACGGGAGGCAGCAGUGGGGAAUAUGGCACAAUGGGCGCAAGCCUGAUGCAGCGACGCCGCGUGAGGGAUGGAGGCCUUCGGGUUGUAAACCUCUUUCGCCAGUGAAGCAGGCCUGUCCCUUUUGUGGGUGGGUUGACGGUAGCUGGAUAAGAAGCGCCGGCUAACUACGUG